GAUGAACGCUAGCGGCAGGCUUAAUACAUGCAAGUCGUGGGGCAGCAUGAGUAGCAAUACUUGAUGGCGACCGGCAAACGGGUGCGGAACACGUACACAACCUUCCGAUAAGUGGGGAAUAGCCCAGAGAAAUUUGGAUUAAUACCCCGUAACAUAUAGAGUAGGCAUCUUCUUUAUAUUAUAGCUUCGGCGCUUAUUGAUGGGUGUGCGUCUGAUUAGGUAGUUGGCGGGGUAACGGCCCACCAAGCCUACGAUCAGUAGCUGAUGUGAGAGCAUGAUCAGCCACACGGGCACUGAGACACGGGCCCGACUCCUACGGGAGGCAGCAGUAAGGAAUAUUGGACAAUGGGCGAAAGCCUGAUCCAGCCAUGCCGCGUGAAGGAUUAAGGUCCUCUGGAUUGUAAACUUCUUUUAUUUGGGACGAAAAAAGGGAAUUCUUUCCCACUUGACGGUACCAAGUGAAUAAGCACCGGCUAACUCCGUGCCAGCAGCCGCAGUAACAC
rnacentral:rRNA from 1 species